GGUGUUUUCGGAAGCGCGUGGUCUUCCGCUUCCUAUCCGUCCUCCCCACGAGGCCACGACACUUUUCCCCUUCCGUCCUGUCCCGUCUAACUCCCGCUCCUCUGCCUCCCUCGUUUCAUCCUCCCGGUCCUCCACCUCCCUCGUUUCCUUCUCCCGCUGCAGCCGAGGGGGCGCGGCGCUGGGGAGAGGCGCAGCGGCGCGCCGCCUCCCACCGUGUACUCGGCCUCCUCUCUUGCUCCUCCCUUCCUCCUACCCCCGCUGGCGCUGAGGGGCCGCGCGGCACGCGAGGUAUUCCAUGACAGAGUCAAAGGCGGGUAGUUACUCGAUGCGUGGCUGCACGCGGUUCUGCAACUACCGCCGCUAGACAAACGGAGGAGUCUGGAGUGGUUCGUUCGUCAAUCUCCGCAUACACGGUUAGGUCAGUGCAUCCUCUUCAGGUCUCUUCGAUCUUCGAUUUGGUGCUCGUUCGGAUGUAGGGAUUCCAGGGGGUCGUACGGAUUUGGGUACGUUCUCCACCGGCUCCGGAUCCUGGCGAAUCAACUGUGUGGGAUGGUUGUUCUCGUCGGUAACGAGCUGAAGAUUGAGCAUCCAUCUGCUCCUUGCUCCCCCGUGACUUGGUGAAAUCUCAGGGAUGUGUGCUUUGUACUUGUUAACAUGCAUUGAAGGUGUUGUGUGGAUGGGGUAUUUUGGCAGAGUUUUGCUCCAUUUUUUUUUGGGUCAAGAGAGUGAUGUUGUGUGGAUGGAUUCUUGGUGCAGCUUAUUUUGGCUGAUUUUUGGGGGCUGAUGUGUGGACGGGGGUUGCAGCGGCCAUGUGUUUGUGCAAACUAAAGUUGCUAUUCAGCUUCCAUAUCAAAGUUGCCACGGAGUUAGAAAGUUUUGCAUGUGUUUGGGUGUAUCAUCGGAGAGACACAGUGGCUGCAAACACAGAUGGAGCACAGGUGGCACCUAAUAAAUCCAGUCCUUCAACAACUCGCUUCCCAAGAAACUGAAGUCGCACAAGAAGAUGCAUAAGGAGCUGUAAAAAAGUACAGGCCCUCGAUUUAGAGAUACCGACCCUAAAUGUAAUACUGCCAAAAUUUGCUUUAAGCACAAACCUCAACAUGUAGUUGUUUAAUUCAAAGCAAAAGUUGUUGGAAAUAUUUCUGGGGGAUAUGGAGAUUUUGGUUACUGUGUUUCCAGCUACUUUGUAUAUAUAAUUCUAGCAAGAUUUCCUUAAUGAGUCUAGCAAGUUUUAUGAUUCCA